CCGCCUGGGAAGUACGCUCGCAAGAGUGAAACUCAAAGGAAUUGACGGGGACCCGAACAAGUAGCGGAGCAUGUGGUUUAAUUCGAAGCAACGCGAAGAACCUUACCUAAGCUUGACAUCCCAAUGAUAUCUCCUUAAUCGGAGAGUUCCCUUCGGGGACAUUGGUGACAGGUGGUGCAUGGUUGUCGUCAGCUCGUGUCGUGAGAUGUUGGGUUAAGUCCCGCAACGAGCGCAACCCUUGUCUUUAGUUGCCAUCAUUAAGUUGGGCACUCUAGAGAGACUGCCAGGGAUAACCUGGAGGAAGGUGGGGAUGACGUCAAAUCAUCAUGCCCCUUAUGCUUAGGGCUACACACGUGCUACAAUGGGUAGUACAGAGGGUUGC
rnacentral:rRNA from 1 species